rnacentral:rRNA from 1 species
UACGUAGGGGGCUAGCGUUGUCCGGAAUCAUUGGGCGUAAAGAGCUCGUAGGUGGCUUGGCAAGUCAGGUGUGAAAACUCCAGGCUCAACCUGGAGACGCCAUUUGAUACUGCCAUGGCUUGAGUUCGGUAGGGGACCACGGAAUUCCUGGUGUAGCGGUGAAAUGCGCAGAUAUCAGGAGGAACACCAAUGGCGAAGGCAGCUCGCUGGGACGUGACUGACGCUGAGACGCGAAAGCGUGGGGAGCAAACAGG